AUCUAUUCCUCUUCUCUCCCUCUGUCAGGAUCUGUUCUUCAUUUCUUCCUGUCUGCUCUACUUUUCUUUAAAACAUAAGACAAAGCAGGGACUAUUUGUCUUAUAAAGGUUUCAUACACCUGACCAACGGAGGAGCAAAGUGUGCUUCAUUUCUGGUGAUCAAAGCAAUUUUCCCACAAUUCUCAACUUUGAUCCGUGUCAGUAUUCCCGAACGUCCUGUCACUUAGACAGAACACUGGCGAAACUACCGAAAUUCAUCCUAACAGAAUGAGAACAGUUUCUCCAUUCGUGUUAGGACGACAUUCGGGACUUUGUUCGGUUUGGAAUUUCAUUCGAAUUAAUGAAACUCCGAUUCUAUUCGGGCUGCGGCUGCUUCUUGCAGCCGCUUAGUAGAUAGCUCUCUAAUUCCUAUAGUAUCAGAGAGCUAUCUACCAAAAGGCUGAAAGACCUAAAUUGCUCUUUCAGCCAAAUUUGCUAAUACUAAGUUGUGGCUGCUCACUGUAG